UGGAAUAGACAAGUCAAGACUAAACUGGACACAGGUCAAUUUUUCCGUGUUCCUUUCUGCAGUGGGGAAGAAAACACCCUGUUAAUACGAAAUCUUCUCUAUUAAGCUGUUUUUAAAUUACAGAAUGGGAAAAGUUUUAUUUAACUUCUGUGGUCGUGAUGUAACUCUCUGGCAGGGAUGUCAAUGUAUUUGUAGCUUCGCUAAGCCUGGAGCUGAGAGAGCUAAUGAUUGCCUCAACUUCUGGUAAAGUGCAGUUCUAAGGGCAUUUUCAGCCUUCACUUCUUCCUACCCUCCCUUUUAAAAGAUUUCAAAACCAAGCCUUUAAUUUUCAGCAAGACCUUUUCAUGUGACCUUUAGAACAUAGCAAGGGUUAUUUUAACAGUAAAUCAACACAAGGUAGCGGGGUCCUUGGGCUGAAUUCUGGGGAUGUGUUCUCACAGUGAGAGCUGAGGUAUCCAUCACAGCGAGGAUGUCACCACUGUCCCACACAUCUACCCGUAAGACUUCCCAGUGUUCUGGGGGGGUUGUAGCAGCUCGUGACAAAUGGGAAUGGGAAGCCCUCUUCACUUCUACAGUUGUGGCAUGGAGUACUUUUAUGACAAAGAUCAAGCUGGCAGUAGUCUAGAAGCUUCCUUCCCCUUCUACACAGCACCACAGAGAGGCACAUCCAGUUUAAAAAGAAGAAUUCAGGAAUCUGUCAGAACAUUUCAUUUUCUCAGAGUGUGGCUCAUGUUCAGGAGGCAGGAAUUUCACAGGUGCUCAGUGUGCCUUGGGAGAUGAUACUAGAAAUGCUCAUUUCUCUGAACUAUAUUUCAGUGUUCUUCUGCUGAGACAUGUAACGUGUAUAUGCUGUGCAGUUGCCUUCUUCACAUGCACUUAGUAUAGGCCAAGUCAUGUUAUGAUAAUGAAAAGCUCUGCAAACAUUUACAAUUCCAGUGGUAUUAAUUCUAUAAUGUAAAUAAGUGAUCCAAAACUGCCAAGCCAAAAACACUGGAGGUUUUCAAAGGCAGGAAAUGCUGAGCAUCCCUUUAAUUCAAACAGCACUUAAAAUCUAAAAUAAAGGCCUACAUCUAUAAACUGAAGCUUUUAGUUGCUGUGUGACAGUCCUUAGCCUGGAAUAAUAGCUGCUACAUGACUUUUUGAGAGAGCUUGCAGAAGAUGACUGUGCAAACACUUCAAUCAGACACAACUUCAUGCAAUUUACUGGAUUUAUAAAUUAAACCUGUAAAAUCUGCACAGAUUACUUUGUUUUACUUUUGAUCUGAUGCAUGUGCUUCUGCUGAAAUAAAACUGACAUCACAACAAGUCUUUGGAGAGCCAACGGAUUCCUGCUCUAUUUCUGAUUUUCAAGCUUCUAUUUCUAUGAGAUGCUAUGGAAUGCCCAAGAGAGAUUUGGCAAAUAUAAGAUCUAUUUACUUAAAUAUUUGCCCUAUAACUUCUGUGUUUCAUAGAUACCAAUAGCUGGUCUCUAAAUUUUCAAGAAAUGGCAAUUAUUUUUUUUAAACUGUUAUGGAACACUGCUUUGUUUCAUCCAGGAGGACAAUCUUUGUGUCCUUUAGAGUAUUUUCUGAUGAAAGACCUAACAGAUACG
ensembl:lncRNA